rnacentral:rRNA from 1 species
UCAGCAGCCGCGGUAAUACGUAGGUGGCAAGCGUUGUCCGGAAUUAUUGGGCGUAAAGGGCUCGCAGGCGGUUUCUUAAGUCUGAUGUGAAAGCCCCCGGCUCAACCGGGGAGGGUCAUUGGAAACUGGGGAACUUGAGUGCAGAAGAGGAGAGUGGAAUUCCACGUGUAGCGGUGAAAUGCGUAGAGAUGUGGAGGAACACCAGUGGCGAAGGCGACUCUCUGGUCUGUAACUGACGCUGAGGAGCGAAAGCGUGGGGAGCGAACAGGAUUAGAUACCCUGGUAGUCCACGCCGUAAACGAUGAGUGCUAAGUGUUAGGGGGUUUCCGCCCCUUAGUGCUGCAGCUAACGCAUUAAGCACUCCGC